UCCUUGUUGCUGAGGAACGGCUUUGCUGCCCAGAGCCCUUGGUGACUUACAACUCCUCGAGGUGGACUGAUGGGCAGAGAAGGCUACUGAGACAGAGAAAAAACAUAAAACAAAACAGGGAUUUGUCAAGGCCCUUUGGUAUUUAACCACAAAAGAGAUAUAAACAGCCAAGGGCCUAGAUUCACUUUGAAGGCUCAGUAAGUGGGCCUUCAGCUAAGACAGGCUUCUGUCCAUCAAUCCAUCCUUCAUUUGCUGAGCAGGUAUUGUGCCAGGCACUUUUCUAGGUCCUAGAAUACAGCUCUGACCAGGACAGACCUGGCCCGGGCCCUCAGAGGGUGAGUGUUCUGGUAAAGGAGGCACAAUAAACAAGGAAAUAAAAAACAAGAUUGAAGAGGGUGAAACUGCUCUACAGGAAACAAACUGGGAAUUGAAAGAGCAAAGGGAAGAAAGGCCACAUUGGAUGGGGAGGUGAGGACGGCCUCUCUGAAGAGGUGAGCUUUGAGCUCAAGCUGAGCACUGAGAAGAUUCCAGCCCAGUAACAGCUAUCAGGAGAUCACGCCAGGUCAAGGACACAGCAGGUGCCAAGGCCUGGAGGCAGGACUGGGCUGGACAAGUCCAGGGAACAGAGAGGAUGCCAGGACUGAGGACGUAGGGAGAGCAGGUUGCAGGGAUGCAGAAAGCGGUGCGGGGUGUGGAUCAGGCAGAGCCUCCUGGGACAGGGUCCUCGUCUGUGAAUGAGGGAAUCAUGAGCCAUCCUGAGGCUGAUCUGAGGAUGUAACAAGAAGGCGCCCAAGGCAGAGCCCAGCACACAGGGUAGAGGGAAUAAAAUGGGCCACCAUGAGGCAGCAGGCAGACAAAUUCAGACAAAUUCCAGGUUGGCUGAAGCAUUCAAAGCUAAAUCCAGAAUUCACGAACCUUAUUCCGCACCAACCAUCUGAUUGCUUCAAGAUUCUUUGAACAGCUGGCUGCCAGGGAUUCUGGGUAAGUGUAGCACCCCAGAGGCAACUGCUCCUGGGAAUUCAACAAGCAGCGACAUGAAAAGUAAAAUGAGGGAGAAGGGAUCACUGUCAACCAAAGAGACACUAGAGACUUAACAACCAGAUGCCAUGUGGCCCUUGUUGAAUCUUGAUUGACAAAAAGCAACAGGAAAAAGACAUUUGGGAGACAACUGGAGAAAUUCGAACAUGGACUGAAUGUUAGACAAUUAUGGGGAAUUAUUUUUAAUUUUGUUGGAGGUGAUAAAGAUAUUGCAGCUAUGUUAGAAAACAUCCACGUGAGGUCUGGGGUUUGCCUUAAAAUAAGUUGGCAGGAAGAAGGGAGAGAGCUCGAAGGAAGGAGCAAACCCUGAUAACUGUGAGCCUGUGUGAUGGGUGUAUGGUGGUUCACAAUGUUCUUCCGGUUGAGAUAUCCAGAGUAAUUCUUUAAUUGUAUUCAGUUUAUUUUUCAAGAUUGCAAUUUCUUUGAGAAAGUGUUGCUGAAUAUUGCAAAAGGUAGCCCGGGGAUUGCCAUUGUGUCUUUUUUGCUACUGCCCAUGUAGCCAGGUAUGAACAGGGCAUUUCGCAUGGGCAUGAGGCGGGGACUGUAAAAUAUUACUACCUGUUCAGGAGACAUGGCUCCCUGCAACCCCCGGCCAAGUCCUGGAUGCCAGGACGGGAUUUCAUGUGCACGCCAUCUGAAGCUACCAGCUUGCUCACUACACAAGUCGACAGACUGAUGUGACUGUAUGCAGCGCUGAGCACAACAGCCGGGGCCUGUCACCCAGCUCACCAGCAGAGAGCCAGGGGUGUUUUCAAGCAGAAAUAAUGGGCCACUGUGGCUUUUUAAAGAGAUAUGAUUUAUCUCUGGGACCGCAUCCAGGCUAGAGCUGCUGGAGGACAAUGACAGGCUCCUGGGCCAGCGAGGAGGCUUUCACACCUUGGCUUGUCUGCAGACGGAGGACAGCUGGGGCUUCGCAGGCUGAGGCACCCAGGGGUUGUGGUGAUCAGCAGGGGGCACAGAGAAGCAGCCAACUCUGCACCCUGAGGAGGGUGGAGAUUUGGAGAAUUUCUGUUGGAUUUGAACCACACGACGGUUCCUUGGAGGAACCGGGAGUCCAGGUGGAAUCUUUGCAGGCAGGGUCAUGUGGUUUGGCCGCCUUCAUUACUCAAAAGCAGGAAUCUGUGUUUGGGAAGAUGUGAAUUACGUACUUUUGAUUGAAAACAGCUGCACACCCACAAAUCCCUUUAGCCAGUUAAUUGGACCAUGACAGGCACUCCAGAUGUCUACCCACAUGCCCUUUUCUUACCAACAAGACCCUGAUGAUCACGCGCUCCCUGGAUGGUGCCCAGCUCUCUGGCUGCUCAUCCUUGUGUGACACAGCUCUAGCCAGUGGUGGGGGGGUGCGGGAAGGAGGGGGUUGCAGAACAGGCGGCUACUAGGGAUUCUGGGUAAGUGUGGCCUUCUAUUUAAGCCCCUUCCUCCUCUCACCUCCUCCUUUCUCCUCU
rnacentral:lncRNA from 1 species